rnacentral:rRNA from 1 species
UGUGAACUCGAAGAGUAGGGCGGGACACGUGGUAUCCUGUCUGAAUAUGGGGGGACCAUCCUCCAAGGCUAAAUACUCCUGACUGACCGAUAGUGAACCAGUACCGUGAGGGAAAGGCGAAAAGAACCCCGGCGAGGGGAGUGAAAAAGAACCUGAAACCGUGUACGUACAAGCAGUGGGAGCACCUUCGGGUGUGACUGCGUACCUUUUGUAUAAUGGGUCAGCGACUUAUAUUCUGUAGCAAGGUUAACCGUAUAGGGGAGCCGCAGGGAAACCGAGUCUUAACUGGGCGUUAAGUUGCAGGGUAUAGACCCGAAACCCGGUGAUCUAGCCAUGGGCAGGUUGAAGGUUGGGUAACACUAACUGGAGGACCGAACCGACUAAUGUUGAAAAAUUAGCGGAUGACUUGUGGCUGGGGGUGAAAGGCCAAUCAAACCGGGAGAUAGCUGGUUCUCCCCGAAAGCUAUUUAGGUAGCGCCUCGUGAAUUCAUCUUCGGGGGUAGAGCACUGUUUCGGCUAGGGGGUCAUCCCGACUUACCAACCCGAUGCAAACUACGAAUACCGAAGAAUGUUAUCACGGGAGACACACGGCGGGUGCUAACGUCCGUCGUGAAGAGGGAAACAACCCAGACCGCCAGCUAAGGUCCCAAAGUCAUGGUUAAGUGGGAAACGAUGUGGGAAGGCACAGACAGCCAGGAUGUUGGCUUAGAAGCAGCCAUCAUUUAAAGAAAGCGUAAUAGCUCACUGGUCGAGUCGGCCUGCGCGGAAGAUGUAACGGGGCUAAACCAUGCACCGAAGCUGCGGCAGCGACACUAUGUGUUGUUGGGUAGGGGAGCGUUCUGUAAGCCUGCGAAGGUGACCUGUGAGGGUUGCUGGAGGUAUCAGAAGUGCGAAUGCUGACAUAAGUAACGAUAAAGCGGGUGAAAAGCCCGCUCGCCGGAAGACCAAGGGUUCCUGUCCAACGUUAAUCGGGGCAGGGUGAGUCGACCCCUAAGGCGAGGCCGAAAGGCGUAGUCGAUGGGAAACAGGUUAAUAUUCCUGUACUUGGUGUUACUGCGAAGGGGGGACGGAGAAGGCUAUGUUAGCCGGGCGACGGUUGUCCCGGUUUAAGCAUGUAGGC